GUGGGCACCGCCCAUCGCCCAUCAACCCCCGACCGCACUGGGCGCGGCGUCUCCCUGGAGGUGAACGUGGAUCUUCGGCGGGGGGCAAGACGAGGAUUCUUUGCUGGCCGAGCGAGAGGUGUUGCAGACCACUUGUUUGGUGAUGAACCAUAAGCUCCAAGCACCCAUUGGAGCAGCCCUACAGAGACAGAGCGGUUGCUGGAAACUCCCCGAUGGCUUCACCGCAAAGUGGUACCAUACUUUAUCGACCCCCCGGAGAGGUGUCACACCAGAGACCAACAGCGUCCAGUGGGGGACCACUGCCCUUGCCGGAAGGCGUCAGGUUGUAUUAAUGUUUACCCAAAAAAAAAAAUUAGCUUUUUUAUUUACAGAGCGCUUUUCCCACGCUCAAA